UACGGAGGGUGCGAGCGUUGUCCGGAAUCACUGGGCGUAAAGGGCGCGUAGGUGGCCCGUUAAGUGGCUGGUGAAAACCCAGGGCUCAACCCUGGGCCUGCAUUCGAUACGGGCAGACUAGAGUUCGGUAGGGGAGACUGGAAUUCCUGGUGUAGCGGUGAAAUGCGCAGAUAUCAGGAGGAACACCGGUGGCGAAGGCGGGUCUCUGGGCCGAAACUGACGCUGAGGAGCGAAAGCGUGGGGAGCAAACAGG
rnacentral:rRNA from 1 species